rnacentral:rRNA from 1 species
GACGAACGCUGGCGGCGUGCUUAACACAUGCAAGUCGAACGGAAAGGCCCUGCUUUUGUGGGGUGCUCGAGUGGCGAACGGGUGAGUAACACGUGAGUAACCUGCCCUUGACUUUGGGAUAACUUCAGGAAACUGGGGCUAAUACCGGAUAGGAGCUCCUGCUGCAUGGUGGGGGUUGGAAAGUUUCGGCGGUUGGGGAUGGACUCGCGGCUUAUCAGCUUGUUGGUGGGGUAGUGGCUUACCAAGGCUUUGACGGGUAGCCGGCCUGAGAGGGUGACCGGCCACCUUGGGACUGAGAUACGGCCCAGACUCCUACGGGAGGCAGCAGUGGGGAAUAUUGCACAAUGGGCGGAAGCCUGAUGAAGCAACGCCGCGUGCGGGAUGACGGCCUUCGGGUUGUAAACCGCUUUCGCCUGUGACGAAGCGUGAGUGACGGUAAUGGGUAAAGAAGCACCGGCUAACUACGUG